GACGAACGCUGGCGGCGUGCUUAACACAUGCAAGUCGAACGAAGUGGCGAACGGGUGAGUAACGCGUAAUCAACCUGCCCUUCAGAGGGGGACAACAGUUGGAAACGACUGCUAAUACCGCAUACUGAAGGAGGGGAUUUCGUCUGAUUAGCUAGUUGGAGGGGUAACGGGCCACCAAGGCGAUGAUCAGUAGCCGGUCUGAGAGGAGUGACGGCCAAAUUUGGAAUGGGACACGGCCCAGACUCCUACGGGAGGCAGCAGGGGGGAAUCUUCCGCAAUGGACGAAAGUCUGACGAAGCAACGCCGCGUGAGUGAUGACGGCCUUCGGGUUGUAAAGCUCUGUUAAUCGGGACGCGGUACCUGAAUAGAAAGCCACGGCUAACUCCGUGCCAGCCGCCGCGGUAAUUC
rnacentral:rRNA from 1 species